rnacentral:rRNA from 1 species
UACGGAGGGUGCAAGCGUUAUCCGGAUUCACUGGGUUUAAAGGGUGCGUAGGUGGGCUUGUAAGUCAGUGGUGAAAUCUCCGUGCUUAACAUGGAAACUGCCAUUGAUACUAUAGGUCUUGAAUUAUCUGGAGGUUAGCGGAAUAUGUCAUGUAGCGGUGAAAUGCUUAGAUAUGACAUAGAACACCAAUUGCGAAGGCAGCUAGCUACAGGUUGAUUGACACUGAGGCACGAAAGCGUGGGGAUCAAACAGG